rnacentral:rRNA from 1 species
UUGAAAGGGAAACGAUUGAAGUCAGUCGUACCGGCGGAUAAUCAACCUUUCGGCGUGAUUAUGUGGAGCGUGAGGACGUUAAUCACUUUCAUGCCUGCAUAUUCGUGUAUUUUGGGUGUACUUAUCUGUAUGGUAGGUUAACAUCAAUUUUGGUCGUUAUAAAAUGACUGGGGAAAUGUGGCUUUGAUUUCGUAUUGAAGUGUUAUAGUCUCUGGUAGAUAUAGUGACCGGGAUUGAGGAUUGCAACGGAUACCCUUUCGGGGCUACUCGUCUGAUCUCUGAUCGUUACUCUGGUGCUGAAAGCUUGCUUACGGUUAUCAAAGUUGAUGGUUAAUAAGUUAGAACGGGUUAAAUUCGUUAAGGAUGUUGACGUA